rnacentral:rRNA from 1 species
AUUGAACGCUGGCGGAAUGCUUUACACAUGCAAGUCGAACGGCAGCACGGACUUCGGUCUGGUGGCGAGUGGCGAACGGGUGAGUAAUGUAUCGGAACGUGCCCAGUCGUGGGGGAUAACGUAGUGAAAAUUACGCUAAUACCGCAUACGAUCUAUGGAUGAAAGCGGGGGAUCGCAAGACCUAGCGCGAUUGGAGCGGCCGAUAUCAGAUUAGGUAGUUGGUGGGGUAAAGGCCCACCAAGCCAACGAUCUGUAGCUGGUCUGAGAGGACGACCAGCCGCACUGGAGCUGAGACGCGGUCAUGAACCCUACGGGAGGCAGCAGUGGGGAAUUUUGGACAAUGGGCGAAAGCCUGAUCCAGCCAUUCCGCGUGCAGGAUGAAGGCCCUCGGGUUGUAAACUGCUUUUGUACAGAACGAAAAGGUUUCUACUAAUACUAGGAGCUCAUGACGGUACUGUAAGAAUAAGCACCGGCUAACUACGUGCCAGCCGCCGCCGUAA